AUGAACUAACUCCUCAUCAACCAAUGUAGCCUCUAUCGAUGGUGGUGAUGAUGCAACAAGUGGUACUACAGGUGGGGUGGAUGGCACCUCCAUAAGUGUAAUAGGAGUCUCUUGAACAAGUGGCAGGCUAAUGUCAAUCGAUGGUGCAUCUCUAAGAACAGAUGUAUGCCUAGUCCCUCUCGUAUGAGCCCCUCGCCCUCUAGUCCGUACACCUCCUGAUCGAGUAAUGGAUGAUAUCGGCUGCUGAUGAGGUAGUGGACUACUCCUGGUAUGAGGCCCUCCUCCUCUAGUCCGUACACCUCCUGAUCGAGUAAUGGAUGAUAU
rnacentral:lncRNA from 1 species